rnacentral:rRNA from 1 species
UUUGAUCCUGGCUCAGAUUGAACGCUGGCGGCAGGCUUAACACAUGCAAGUCGAGCGGUAGCACAGGGGAGCUUGCUCCCUGGGUGACGAGCGGCGGACGGGUGAGUAAUGUCUGGGAAACUGCCUGAUGGAGGGGGAUAACUACUGGAAACGGUAGCUAAUACCGCAUAACGUCGCAAGACCAAAGAGGGGGACCUUCGGGCCUCUUGCCAUCAGAUGUGCCCAGAUGGGAUUAGCUAGUAGGUGGGGUAAUGGCUCACCUAGGCGACGAUCCCUAGCUGGUCUGAGAGGAUGACCAGCCACACUGGAACUGAGACACGGUCCAGACUCCUACGGGAGGCAGCAGUGGGGAAUAUUGCACAAUGGGCGCAAGCCUGAUGCAGCCAUGCCGCGUGUGUGAAGAAGGCCUUCGGGUUGUAAAGCACUUUCAGCGAGGAGGAAGGUGGUGAGCUUAAUACGCUCAUCAAUUGACGUUACUCGCAGAAGAAGCACCGGCUAACUCCGUGCCAGCAGCCGCGGUAAUACGGAGGGUGCAAGCGUUAAUCGGAAUUACUGGGCGUAAAGCGCACGCAGGCGGUUUGUUAAGUCAGAUGUGAAAUCCCCGGGCUCAACCUGGGAACUGCAUUUGAAACUGGCAAGCUAGAGUCUCGUAGAGGGGGGUAGAAUUCCAGGUGUAGCGGUGAAAUGCGUAGAGAUCUGGAGGAAUACCGGUGGCGAAGGCGGCCCCCUGGACGAAGACUGACGCUCANGUGCGAAAGCGUGGGGGAGCAACAGGAUUAGAUACCCUGG